UAAGGAAACGGUUCAAUGUGCUAAAGUAUU
rnacentral:piRNA from 1 species